UUACACAGGUUCUCCUCCAACCACCUCGUUGUAUUGCACUCAAGCGGCCUCCCCUCACCCACCUUCCUCUGUCGUGUGCACCGUUGCUUUCAUUGCUCUGUUUGUGUGUGUGUGUGUGUUUCUUCUGCUGGUCUUUCCGUCUCUCGCGCGCACCGCAUGGCCGACCGAGGUAAAAUCGUGUCUGUGGCGGCGAGCGCGCCGAUGGAGGGCGCCGGUGAAUCGCUCGUGUCUGUCCUGUGUGUAGAGGCCACCUAUAAGACACAGAGAGUGUUCGAUAGGGCGCUCGCCGCGGCUGCGACCGGUAGUGCGGCGGCGACGGAGGAACUGCGCAAGCUCCCUGGCAUGCAGCUCUGCAUGUCGCCCGACACGCCCAUCCAUGCUAUUCGGGCUUUCUUGCAAGAACAGGAAGCCGUGGCGUUGUCAAGUGGCCGUCACGCCGCUGCGGAUGACAAGGAGCAGCAGAACACGAACUCACUGGCCAAUGCUCAUUUCUUUGCCAUUCUCGUGCCACCGGUCUCCUCGGAGGGGGCAGAGGCCGUCGAGGCUUUCCUUCCUCUUCAGAACACCGCAACCCUUCGCGACGUGCUCGCCUCCGGCCCCGUGCUGCGGUGCAACGACGACGCGAGCGCGGACGCGGCUGAGCAGAUGUUGCUGCUGGUGUACAUGCGCGAGAGCGAGUACGGCUUAGACGGCGGCGACUUCCUUCUCGGCGCUCUCUGCGCCGGGCUCUGUGCCUGCUGUAUUGCCUUGUGCGCCUCUGGUGCAGCGCGCUCGGCUGGGGAGAAGAGGCGUCGUAGAGAGAGCGAUCAGCAGCAGCAACAGCCCCAGUACCCGCAGCAGCCAUACUACCCCAACAACGUUGCUCCGCCACCGAACCCGGGCUACUACCCAGGCAACAUGCCCGCCGGCCAGCCGUACAGCUACGGCGCCCCGCCGGAGUACCCGGUGGCGCAGCCGGCGUACUACAACUACAGCGGACAGCCCCUGCAAGAUCAGUCGCCGCAGCCGGGGGACCAGAAGCAGGUACCGGGCACCCUGAGUCCAUCGAACAACGCGGGUGCCCCGGCGCCACUGUGAGCCAGAGUUACGGAAGGUGAGGACGCUACGCAAGCCAAGAGUCCACCUGUGCUCCACAUGCGCACAUCUUAGGAGCACCACUGAUGGUAGCAGCUCUGGCGGAGUCCGCCGUGAUUCUCUUCCGUUUGCGUAUUUGCUCGGUCGUUGAUGGCCCCUUUUCGGUUGUCGACGUUUUGCCUGUGAAGUCGUGGCACUCCACCCCGUGCGCGCAUCCGCAUGCGCGGCGCACGAAACUUCUCGUAGCCGCGCAGACACGCGUUCGUCCUUAUGACCAGGCUCACCCUCAUGCGCGGGCGUGUGUGCACUGGGGAGCACGACAUAAAGGAGAGGGAGAUGAGUAAGCGUUUGAGUGUGCGCGUGUAUGCGGCAGCGGAUGUCUUAUCUUCCGCGCUGCGCGUAUGUGUAUGUGUGCGCGCGUGCUGCCUUCCCCCGUUUGUGUUCUCUCCUCCCGCUUUUUCUUUUUCCCGCGUAUACGCGCUAUGCUGCGUGUGUGUGUGUGUGCAUGCUUGUUAGUAUUCUCCACCCUCACCCUCUCUCUAGCCCGCUCGCUACUCCCAUUUUCCAACGGUUGCUGCUGUCAUUGCUUUUCGUUGUUUGCUGGCUUCUGUGCGUUUUUUGUUCAUGGUCGUCAGUGCUUAAGGUGUUGCUUGAUUCCCUUUUUUUGCGCGUACGGUAUAGCUUUCCUUUUCUCCAUGCGGUUCUCCUCUUCUCUGUGUGUGGGGGGAAGAGGGGGGCUGGUGUGUUGGUGUGCAAGACGGCUGCGCGUGAGGUGCCAAGAGUAUGAGAGCGAAGAAAAUGUCAUGUCUAUCGGCAAUGCCUUCUAAGGGCUAAAUGAAAAAGAAACGUUUUUUUUUUUCGUUAUGUGGUGGGCAGUAUGCUCACGAGGUAUAUGUGCGUCUUGUUUUCUUCUGUACGUCUCUCCUCUCUGUGCGUGGCGCUGUAUGCGCUCGCAUAGGCUGUCAGCUGUGUGUGCCAGCAAUGUCGUGUCCCCCUUCCCUCCCUCUUUUUCUAUCUCUUCAUCCCUUUCGCUUUUCCCUCAUGCGCGCGCGUGUGCAUGUGCGGUCAAUGCUGCUGCUUUCCAUUCGUUUCUUUUUUUGUUUUGCUUCCUUGUGUUGGUGCCCUUUUCGGCACCAGGGGCUCUCAAUGCACUUGGCUGUGACGCCUUUCUCUGCCUCUACAGCUCUGUUUACGUGGCCCUUGGUAUCUCGUGCAUGGGAGUGCGCGCGCGUGCGCAUGUGUGUGCCAACUCCAUGGUGCUGUUCUAGUCGCUCGUACCCUCCCCCUCCCCCUCCUUACCCCACACGUCGCCGCGACGACGACGACGCUAGCGACGGCUGAGAUGACAACGCAGGACUGCAUUCCUCCUAUUCGUCUACGUGCUUUCGCGCUUCUCUUCUUUCGACUCUCCGUGAACUCCUUCCCCCACCCGCCCACGGAUACGCCUCAGCUGAGGCACAUACGCACGUACACGAGUAUCACACGGGUGUGCAUGCAAGGGCGCCUCCGUUGCUGGAGCUACGAUGUGUUGGAUCACGAAGAGAAAACCUGGAAGGAUGGAGGGCGUCAAGGCGUAGCAACUCCUGCCCCCGCCCCCGUCCCCGCCCCUCUCCUCUCUCCUCUCUCCCUCUGCCACCAUGCCGAUGCAACUCUGCCGUAAUUUUGUGCCUGUGCAAAUCUGUGCGUACUCGUGAUUUUUCCAAGCCAGAGGCGCUUCUCUCCCUCUCUGUUGUGUGUCCCUCUGCUUUCCUUUUUCGUGUGCCACUCCUCCGCCCCCGCCUCCGCCUUACUGCCCGGGGCGUCGGUGUGGGGUUCUUCUCCCCACUGUCCCUCUGUCUGUCUGUGAGUGGUGCCCGCGUGCGUUGCUGCGUGUAGCGGGGCGGGGCGCGGGCACGAUCGGUCAGCCUUUUGCAUGAAAACCUUUUGUUUGCUCGGUACCUUUUCUCCUCCGUGCUUCUGUGCAUGUCCGUGUCCGUGUGUGUGCGCGUAUCGCCCUUGUUUCCGGCGGGUUGCUCCCCAUGAGGAGUGUAAAGCCACCCGCCCCCGAGGUCUCUUGUCUCUCGUCUCUCUAUUAGUGCGCCACCGCUUUCCACCUGUGUUUUACCAUUUUUUGUCUUGUCCUCUUCGUCUGUCUGUGUUGUCCGUUUAGCGUCUUCUAUGUAGUACUCUUAUCGCUGCUCUUCAUCGUAUUGGCGGUGCUGCUGGUGGUGGUGGCGGAGGAGGCGUGUUGUCCAUGUGCCGAGAGCCGGCGCUGGGUGCGUGUCUCUCUCUCUCUCUGCCCGCCUUUCACUGUUGUUUGCUUCACACGAAAAGCCCGCGCGUGUGGACGUGUGCGUGUGUCUGCAUCCGUGCAUGCUGACGCGCAUGCAAAACGCGCGCACACGCACACACAUGCAUGCCCACAUACAUGCAUAUACACUUUGGCGCGCGGAGGAAGAUUAUGAAGGUCUGCGCGCGUAAUGGAUAUUGUGCGAUGCCCAACGAAUAAAAGAGAGGAGAGAAGAAAGUGGAGCGGCGAACCCAAUAUACACAUGCUCACACACAUACACACGCGCUCUCUCUGUCUCUCUCUCGCCUUCUCUCCGAACAAACCUGAAUAAGGAGCCCUCCCCCUCCUCCCCCCCCCCCACACACACAAAAAAAAAGAAAUAAAAGCAAGCAAAACAAGAAGAAGGGCACGCUACAGUGUCAGAGCGGCUCUCUCUCUCUCUCUCUGUGAAGGUGCUGGCAUGGUGUCAGAGCCUUUUUCCCUUGUUUUUCUUUUUUCGUUUGGGACUCAGUCGCAUGCAUGCACAUCCUCGUGAUCGUAUGCAAGGGCGAUCGUCUAUGGAUGCGCGCGUCGAUGUCGACUAUAGUCGGCUUUUGGGGGCCCACCACCGACUCGCUCUAUGCCGCGCCCCCCCUCCUUCACAUCCCUCUGACCACUUUUCUUACCUGUCGUCUCCCCCUUUUGUCGCUUACUCUCUCUCACGCUUUCCUUUCUUCUCGUGCGUGUGCGUGUGUCUAUGUUUGCGCUCGCUGCACCCCGCGCCGGCGGGCUCACUCGUGGAUGCCCCCACCCGCCCCGCACUUGCCACCGCCACUCCCUCCGUGCGUCAACCCGCAUCGCCGCUAUUUAUUUUGUGUCUUUCGUUCUUUUAG
rnacentral:misc_RNA from 1 species